rnacentral:rRNA from 1 species
CCUACGGGAGGCAGCAGUGGGGAAUAUUGCACAAUGGGCGCAAGCCUGAUGCAGCGACGCCGCGUGAGGGAUGACGGCCUUCGGGUUGUAAACCUCUUUCAGUAGGGAAGAAGCGAGAGUGACGGUACCUGCAGAAGAAGCGCCGGCUAACUACGUGCCAGCAGCCGCGGUAAUACGUAGGGCGCAAGCGUUAUCCGGAUUUAUUGGGCGUAAAGAGCUCGUAGGCGGUUUGUCGCGUCUGCCGUGAAAGUCCGAGGCUCAACCUCGGAUCUGCGGUGGGUACGGGCAGACUAGAGUGAUGUAGGGGAGACUGGAAUUCCUGGUGUAGCGGUGAAAUGCGCAGAUAUCAGGAGGAACACCGAUGGCGAAGGCAGGUCUCUGGGCAUUUACUGACGCUGAGGAGCGAAAGCAUGGGGAGCGAACAGGAUUAGAUACCCUGGUAGUCCAUGCCGUAAACGUUGGGCACUAGGUGUGGGGGACAUUCCACGUUUUCCGCGCCGUAGCUAACGCAUUAAGUGCCCGCCUGGGGAGUACGGCCGCAAGGCUAAAACUUCAAAUGAAUUGACGGCGNGNGAGNGCGACGACGACGACGAGGAGGAGG